GACAGAGGGUGCAAACGUUGUUCGGAAUUACUGGGCGUAAAGCGCGUGUAGGCGGCUAUGCAAGUCGGGCGUGAAAUCCCACGGCUCAACCGUGGAAGUGCACUCGAAACUGCGUAGCUAGAGUCCCGGAGAGGAAGGUGGAAUACUUGGUGUAGAGGUGAAAUUCGUAGAUAUCAAGUGGAACACCGGUGGCGAAGGCGGCCUUCUGGACGGUGACUGACGCUGAGGCACGAAAGCGUGGGGAUCAAACAGG
rnacentral:rRNA from 1 species